AAUGAAUUGACGGGGGCCCGCACAAGCGGUGGAGCAUGUGGUUUAAUUCGAUGCAACGCGAAGAACCUUACCUGGUCUUGACAUCCACGGAAGUUUUCAGAGAUGAGAAUGUGCCUUCGGGAACCGUGAGACAGGUGCUGCAUGGCUGUCGUCAGCUCGUGUUGUGAAAUGUUGGGUUAAGUCCCGCAACGAGCGCAACCCUUAUCCUUUGUUGCCAGCGGUCCGGCCGGGAACUCAAAGGAGACUGCCAGUGAUAAACUGGAGGAAGGUGGGGAUGACGUCAAGUCAUCAUGGCCCUUACGACCAGGGCUACACACGUGCUACAAUGGCGCAUACAAAGAGAAGCGACCUCGCGAGAGCAAGCGGACCUCAUAAAGUGCGUCGUAGUCCGGAUUGGAGUCUGCAACUCGACUCCAUGAAGUCGGAAUCGCUAGUAAUCGUGGAUCAGAAUGCCACGGUGAAUACGUUCCCGGGCCUUGUACACACCGCCCGUCACACCAUGGGAGUGGGUUGCAAAAGAAGUAGGUAGCUUAACCUUCGGGAGGGCGCUUACCACUUUGUGAUUCAUGACUGGGGUGAAGUCGUAACAAGGUAACCGUAGGGGAACCUGCGGUUGGAUCACCUCCUUACCUUAAAGAAGC
rnacentral:rRNA from 2 species